rnacentral:lncRNA from 1 species
CUUAAAAUUACCGAUUCAGGGGCAGCAACCCAACAACGGGUUUUCCGAUUCAUCUCAAAAUUUCAGGGCAGAUAGAUCUUGACCUGAUAAACAAUUUUACUAAUGUCAGAUUUGCUCUAAAUGCUUUUGUUUUUGAGUUAUAAGCCAAAAUCUACAUUUUACCCAUAUGUUCUAUUUAUAGCUAUGGCGGCCAUCUUGGUUGGUUGGCAGGGUCAC